UGUUAACGAAUUUUCAGAGUUCCAUGGUCGUAGAAGCUAGCACUAAAAUAAUUUCUUUUUUAACCAAAGUACGCAGACAACGGACGUGUUUUUGAAAAUGGUGUACAAGGCAAUUUUGAAUUGUAAUACAAUACAAUACACUUGAAAUAAUUAAGGAGAAUAAUAAUGGAAAUUAUGCAGAUUUAUAAAUGAAGAAAAACAUGACACCACGUGUUUCUGGCUGGCUUAUAAUAGGCCUAAGCAAAAUGGCGGCACCAAGGAAGGCAAAGGGACACUAAACAGUGAGAUGAUGUUCCUUUCGAAACCAGUGGCUACAAGUAACAGUUAAAUUGAAAUCACCAAAUUUGCUGUUAUUAAUCUAAACGGUUAAUACGAUACUAAAGGAUUAAAAGAUUGAAAGGCAUUGCAGCUUGAAAUCGUCGUGGCCGAUUCAGAAAAAAUUCAGAACAGAUUCUGAAUUGAUUUAAAGCGAAUAUAAAUGUAAUAAAUAAAAUCUUAAAUUAAAAAAAA